GUGGCGAGCUAUACCUAUAUUUCCUAAUUUUAGUCAAAUAUGAAUCACUUAAUGUAACAUAAUAAACACAUUCGUAUCUUAAUUGUCCGUAAAACAGGAAGAGAGGAAGAGCGCAAUAAUAAUUUUCCAAUGACCACACAAGGUCAACUUAGAGGGUAUAUAAAAGGUACAAAACACCAACACAUUAUUUAAACAAGAUAGUGAUGUGAAUUCCUAAUAUGAAGCUUUUCAGUUUUGCUUGCUUACUAAUGACAUUGGGGAUGUGCGAGUUGCAGCGUACAGACCCUCUAUCAAAAAUACCAAAACUAUUAAACCCCAUCAGUUUGUUUACGCAGCAAUUUGGCGAAUUCAAGAGUAACUUUAACAAAGGUUAUGGU